rnacentral:lncRNA from 1 species
AAGUUUACCGUUGUUUUCCAUUUUCCCAAAUUAUUUAAGGAAAUCAAUCAAUAACCAAUACAAAUUUAUACUAUAAAUUAUAUGAUUAAGCAAAUAAAAAUACAGGUAUUUCGUGUUAUAAGACUUGAACAGAUCUCAAACAUACAUAUUAUUUAAAAUGAGACCAUUAAUCAUACUACAAAACAUCUUAUUUUAUUCCAAAUUUGUUGUUCCUAUAGUCUAACAUUUCAGAGCAAAUUUUUGCAUAUUAAAUUAUAUAUAUCCCAAAUAGAAUCUCACACCUGAAAUAAAAAAUACAACAUCAAUUUCCACAGACAUAAAUAAUAAAAAUCAUUAUCACCCACGUACUGUUAUUAAAAAAAUAGUUUGGAAAAAACAAUUGACAAAGAAACAAAAUUGAGUGGAAAUCUAAUUGAAAAAUGAAAGUCGCUGCUAAAAGAAAAGUAGUACAUAAAAAAUAAAGCACUAAACAAAUACAAAAAGCUACAUGAAGCAAUUGGGAUUUAAAAGAUUAUACUAAGGUGUUGAAAAUACAUGGAUAUCUCUAGUAGUAUAUUUUUAGUAGAGAAAUCUUUCAUUUCUUAAGAAAGGCAUGGACAUCUCUAUUUGUAUAUUUGUUUUUGGGUUAAAUAUAAUUUUGAUCGCUAUAUCUCAGCUUUUAAUUAUGAUUGUUAUAAGCAUCUUGACUUUUAUUUUUAGACCUUAUAAAAAUUUUCAGCAGGUUUUGGUCUCUAAAAUAUUUUUCAUCAUCAUCUUUAUUCCUUGAUUUUAAGUCAAUUCAUAUUUUAUAUUCAAAAUUUUGUAGUUCUUUCCACAGUCAUGAUUAGUACAAUAUGAGUUUCAGAAAUGUGAUACUAGUAUGAUUUUAUGCAUACCUUUUAGUUAUAUUUUAAUUAAUUAAUUAUUUUUUGUACUUAUAGUUUCUACAACUAUUUUACUUGUUUUUAUUUAUUUUCCAAUUUUAGGAUAAAAUCAAAAGAAAUUAAAGAAAAUAGUGAAUCCGCAUUCUAGUAUUGCACGUCUAAGGUUUUGUUUGGUAAAAAUAAGCUAUAAGCUAGCUGAUAGCUGAUAAGCUAACUUAUAGCUGAAAAGCUAGCUUAUAGCUGAUAGCUGAUGGCUGGUAGCUUAUAGCUGAAAAGUUAGUAGAAUAAAAUUAAAGUGUUUGACAAAUUUAGCUGUUGUAAGUACAAAAUGACAUAAAAAUACAUGGUUAGUGGUUAGUGGGUAGUUAUUAUAAUUUUUUUAAAAUAAAUAAAUAAAAGUAAUGAGGGUAAAUAUGGAAUAAAAUAAAAAAAGCUAUAAGCUAUAAGCUCAUACGCUACUUGAAAUAACAUAUCAAAAAACGCUAUAAGCUAGUUAGAGAAGUUUGUUACCAAACACUUCACAUUUUUUUCAAACAAACUUAUAAGCUAGUUCAAUAAGUUAUAAGCUAGCUUAUUGGACUUACUAAACAGUGCCUAAUUCUAACCGUAAAGGAUAACAAUUUUAUCAUAUAUCUUAGUAGUAUCUAGAAUUCUAUAAUUUUCAAGUACACAAAUGGAUGAUGUUAACUUAAGUUAAAAUUAGAUGGAUCAUAAAUAAGGUAAAAAUAAAAACUUAAGUUUUUGUUUUUUUUACAAUAAGUUGAGAAUCGAACACAUAACCUCUAGCUAGCAUAUUAUUCAAACCCCUCAUCAUUAGACUAAAUCUAGCAGCUUAAAACUUAAACUUUUUGCUUUUCCUGAUUUCCUCUCAGAGUUAAUGAUAUAGGGCUUGGUUAUAUUAUAUGAAUUAUAAAUGGCACGAAACAUGAAAAAGAAAAAACUCAAAAAGGAUUGCCUAUAUUAUUUUCUUUCUAAAAUUAACAAACUGAGAAAUGAGAUUAAAUUUUUUUUCUCCAGAAAGUUGGAGAGACUUGGUAUGAAGCUCGUUGGAUAUUGAAGGUAAUAAUGUGUGGAAUGUGUCUCGAACAUGACGAGGGGUUGAUCCUUCAUACUAUUUACAAAGGAUUUCUUUGCACAUCAAAGGAGAUAAUGCAAAAUAUUAAUAAAAUGGAUUAAUGUGGUAAAUAAUGCAAAAUAUUAAUAAAAUGGAUUAAUGUGGUAAAUAGAGAUAUUUUAAGGGACCAAAGAAGAAGAUUUAAUCAUUAAUAGAUUAAUGUGAAACAAAAAAUUCUUUAAGGACCUAAAAAGCUAGUGGGUAUCCAUUUGGGUGAAAUUUUAAUGAAAGUCUGAUUAAGGAAAAUGUUAAUCUUCCUGUGAAUUUAGUUUAGUUGACAUAAACAUUGUAUUAUAUAUAUAGGGGAUUGAGAUUCAAACAUCGAUCUUCCUAUUUAUCCACCUUAUGGGUGAAAUUUUUAGUCACUAAAUUACUUUAGAAAAAAAAAUGUUAAUCACCUUAACCAUUCUCCAAUAAGGAAUCCUUACUCUAAAUCCUAGAGAGGUGAGCAAGAAUGUCUCAAGAACAAAAUGUCUCGAAUAGCCAACCGAAGUCAAAGCCUAGAGAGGUGAGCAAGAAUGGGUUUCUCUAACAUGAACAAGUCCAUCAAGUUGUGCAUAGUUGGGAAAAAUAAAGAAUAGGGAAAUAGAGAAUAAGGGAGAAAUAUUAAAUUUUUAUAAUUUUUACUAAUAGACAAUUAAAAAUAUCAGUGAUCAAAAUUAUAUAUUGUCGUACGUGCAGUGUUCAAACAAUGUCUUAUAAUUAGGGAGAGAGGUAGUAUUUUAUUGUCUUUUAUUUAACAACUUCAUUGUAUUUCUAUUUAUGUUCACCAUAAAUACGUGUAAGCGGUUUUCUUUGUCUUAGAGUUAAGAAAUGUAGUCUAAAGAUACACUUUUCAUAAUUCAAAUUCAUCUUUUGUUGAUAAUUUCAAAACAAAAUUUUGUUCAAUCUUAUUGCAUUUUUUUAUAGUUUGUUAUCAUAGGUUUAUAAUUAGUUAACUUUAAAUACCAAUGAAGGACUAAGGUAAGUUGGUAUUGGCAAAUAGAAUUUUGGUGAUUAAAGGGCUAUGGUGCAUAAGAACUGAUAGGAAAAGGUGUGUCACCAAAAUUAUUAAAGAAAUAUUAGUGUCCUAAAUUUGAUGUAGUUUAAAAAUAUUAAAGAUCCAAGUGAUAAAUCACAUGUGUAUUAUUACAUUAUUUAUUGAGUAUAAUAAAGUAUUCUUAUAAGAAUUUAUGACAUAAUAAGUUUAUCAUUUAAUAAUAUAAGUUUUUUUUGUUGAUAGGCGAAAUGACAACGUCAUUUAAAAUUCACACAUACAAAGUAGAGUGAUCGGGGUUCGAACCCCGGUCCUGACGUCCGACACUAGCAAUUUCGGUAUUCUACCAGUUGAGCUAGGAUUUGUGGACAUAUAGUGUAAGAUAUUUAAUAUUUAGAAAGUUGAAUAUACAAUUUUCUAUAAAUAUUUUCAUAUUUAUCUCCUUAACACAUUUGCUGUUAGUGCAUAAUCAUAUAUUGCAUUGAUGUUUUUGUAUGUAAUAUCUUCUAUGAGAAAAUAAAGGUAAAAAUAAUUUCAAACAAAGUAAAAAUAAUUGCAUAAUAUAGUAAUACACUUUUUAGUUUGUUAUAAAAUUGAAUGAAAGACCACAUAAACAUAAAUCAAAUUUUGAAAUAAAUUAUAGAAGUACAAAUGACCAUCACAAAAAAUUAUAUUCUAAAACUUAUAAACUUAAUUAACUUACACAAAUUCUUAUCAUUGCACUGCCAAACAAAACGUUCAUGUGCUGGUUCUGGACAAUCACUAACAGAUUUACAGGGAAUAUCAGCUGCAUUGUCAUAUAAGAAAAUGAAUUUUGUUAAGAGGUUAUAUAAUACGUGAAUAAGAUAAAUUUGAACAUUGUGUGAAAAAUGACAUACUCUUCUUAUAACCAUAUAUAGAAAGAAAUAUGAUCAAAGCAUAAACAAACAUGGGAAUUUGAGCCAUAUUUUUCUUAUUUUGCAUUUCAUAAAUAAUUUUUUUAACACUCUAUAAAUAAAAA